UCUAUUUCCCGUGACUUUGCCGAGCUGGUACGAGCGCCCUCUACGCAAACGCCAUAACGGCAAAUUGAAGCCGAACGAAGCUUCCGUCCCUGCUGUCAGUCCUACACUCCCAUUUACAAGUAGGACUGUGUUGUUAACCUUCAGAGAAGACAGGAGAAAGCAGUGGCGGUUACAAAAGGCCCAGAAAGCUAGAAUCAAAAAGAUAGCAGGAAGAAUGGACCACGAGGACUCUUCAAUGAUGGUGAUCUAUAAAGUCUGUGCAAUGUUUGUUUUCUUGCCUAAGGACAACAUGACCUACAUGUGCAACAAGUGCAACCUAGUAGCCUGUUAAAAGGAAAGGUGAGAGCACUAGAGCAGCGAGUAUCUAUCCUCAAGUUAAUAAAAGAAGAUGCAGAGUUUUUAGAUAGAGCAGUGGAACUGUAAUAGCUAAGAGUAGUACAGAAGCUAGAAGUGCAACAGCAAACUGAGGUAGAAGAAGAGAAAAUCCUUAGGAAAUGGAAAAUGAGAAGAAAACUCCCUGGAAAAGGGUGACAGGUACAGAAAAACUAGAAGAACUAGAACAUGCUCUGCACCAGUGGAAGCAGUGGAACUAUGAAAUUGCUUUCAGUUACUUGAGGAUGUGAGUAGAGAGCAGCCUGCAGUGGAAGAACUAGAAGUCAUCUCAUGCACCAUUGAACAAGAGGCUACAGGUGAACCAAAUACUGGCAAAGAUAUUGUAGGACAUACCUGGCUAGUGAGCAUGAGGCAUGGGCUGGCUGAUCAUGUCCCAAGGAUCUACACAACAAUAUAGAACCUCCAACAUAGCUACACAACAACAAGAAUCACCGACAGCCAGAGACUGAGGAAUUUCCUGCCAAAAACCCUUCAUCACAGCCUUAAGGUGACCCAGCCUCCCACAUGGUGCAUGUGGAAACCAUAUGGAUUCAAAUGUGCCAGUCAGGAGUCCUACAAUACCAAGGCUUGCAAGAACAAGAAGAGAAGAGUGUUUGGUUGUGGGAGACUCCCUGUUGUGUGGGAUGGAAACACACAUAUGACACAAAGACCCAUAGACUCAUUAAGUAUGCUGUUUUCCUGGAAGAUGAAUUAGUGAUAUAACUAACUCAUAAAGCCCACUUACAUGUGUCCCUUCUAUGCUGGAACAAAUGACACUGGCAAGCUUUGGGGAGGAAAGUCAAGAAUUUUUGGAUAUAUCAAUAAUUUAAGAUAUGCAGAUGACAUGAUAAUACUGGCUGAAAGCAGCAAUAAUGACUACAGAAGAAAUAUACAACUUUAAUUUCAACAAUGAAGUCAUUGAAAUUGUGAAAGAUUUUGCAUACUUUGGCUCAAUCUUCAAUUCAAAGCAAGGCUGCAGCCAGAAAAUUAGAAGAUGACUGAGACUUGGAAGAGUAGCAGUGAAGGAAUUGGAGAAAAUGAUCAGGUGUAAGGACACUUUACCAGAGACCAAAGCCAAGGUCAUUUGCAUUAUUGUAUUCCUGAUCACUAUGUAUCCCUGUGAAAGCUGACAAGAAGAAAAUUGAUAUGUGCUGGAAGAAAGCUGUGUGAAUAUCCUGGACCGACAGAAAGACAAACACGUGGAAUAUAUAAAAUGAAGUCAGAAUUUGCAACAAGUUCUACUCUGUGUGGAUGUUUAGAUUUCUGUGUGUGAACCACACACAAGGAAGAAUUCAGCAAAUUGCCCACAAAACCACAGGAGAUGAUGUGCAUCUGUUAAAUCAAACCAAAGCAACUUUGAAAACUCCCUUUCAGCAAAAAAUACCGACACCUAUGUCCCUGUUGUAGUCAAUGUAGUUGGCGUCCAAGGCUUGAGUUCAACGCAAAGCAUGAUGUCAGUCUCAGCUGACAUAAUCCAACAUCACACCCACACAACAUCCCAUUUUGCCACCAUCGCCACCAUAGAGAAGGCUCUAAAACUCAGUCUCACAUGUUCGGGUUCAGCACAGUUUUUCUCUGUUGUGGGAAGCCUCUUAGGAGCCUUCACCAUGUCUCUGUAUAUACCUGGCAAAACAGCCACACUCAACAGGAAACAUUCCAGGAUUUCCAGGUCCAUCAGAAUCCAAAUUGCUGAUCUUAACUAGUCCCCCUACUCUUGCACAAAGGUGGCAGGUUUAGUGCCUUCCUUAUUCGUGUGUGUGCUUAACAAGUCUAAUAAUCAUAAUACAGGAGAUUUACAUUUAUGAAUGUUGAGGAAUGGUGUGUUGAUUUCCCUUGCUUUAGCUCAGGGGGGCUAAUUGAUCUACAGGAUGUGUCACAGGAAUAUUUCCAGCAACUGACUUUGCACAAUCAUCAGCCUGCAAUGUGGUUUAAAUAAGUCUCAGUGGCAUGGAGUGUAUUGGGAACGUAAGAGAUCUUGUUAGAAACCAGUUAUUGUUCUGCCAUGACUUAUUUGCCCACUAGAGAUCAGGAUUGUACAGCCAAGGUUCUCUAUUUUGUUUUUCAGUGACUGUUUUAACAUACAGCUAGAAAGGAAUAGCUGAAUCAGGACUUUGCUUCAUCUUGCCACAAGCAGAUCUCUUUCCCACCUUUCCUACUUGUGACCCUUUAAUUGGAAAUGCCAUGAAUCUGGGAUUAUAUGCAAGCAAACUCUUUUCCACUGAAGUGCUCUGUAGUCUUUGGGACUGGGUAUUUAUACUUUAUUUGUGUAUUGCAUUUCCGUUCUGUGUCUUUCUCCUAAUGAUCCCCAUUGUGGCAUUGUGGGAGCAGCUAUGGACAAGUAGUAAAGGAACAGUAGUGAUGUUCACGCUAACUUUAAUUAGUACAGUGCAGAUGAAAUCAUUGGCAAACCACCUCUGAAUAUUUCUUACUUUUUAAAACUUGUAAUCAAACAAUCCAAAUUAAAACAGGAGGUAGUGCCAGAGACUCCCUACUCAGAAGGCAUCCAAUCAGCUACUGAGAACAAGGGACAAAUACAAAUAGUGCUGUCACUAAUGAUGCAUCUAGAUCAAAACUGAAUGGAAGUCUAGUGGCCGACAUGCAGAGAAAUGCAAACAAAGUCUGAUGUUGCAAGCACAUACAGUUGGAUAUGGAACUUGAGAAGUAUGAAUUGAGGCAAAUGGGGACCUUAAAGCAAGAAUAGGUACAAAUUAGGGCUUUUUCCAAAUUGCAACAGAGCAACAGCCUCUCUGUUGAGCUCCCUCUGAUACCUUAUCAAUAUUAUCAGUUUUAGUUUAUUAUCCACUUACUCAUUUUAAUUCUUACUAAUUUUUAUGUAGUAGUGUUUUAAAAUCAAGCCUCCUACAAAAGACACUGCAUCUUGAAUCUGUAAGUUCCUGGAAAUAUUAUACAAGCCACUGUUGCAAUGGUGAGGAACAAGAACAACAAACGCAGCAGGACUAGCCCUGGUUUAUCUACUCUGCCCAAGCCAAGUAAACAACCAAACAUUGAAGCGUAUGUGACGCCCGGGAAAACUGUAAGUAAUAAGAACAAGAUAAAUCUCCUUUAUUCUGUUUCUACUUCUAACAGCUGCGAUUUACUAAACUGGGUCUUGGAAUCAGAAAUUGAGAAAAAAACAUUAUUAGACUUGUCCUCCACUCUGCAGAAGGUGUCUAUUCACUUGAACUAGCCUUUGCCUAUGUUACCCUCUCCUGAUGUUUAUACCUUUUUGGGGUGGGAAGAACAAAACAAUCAACCAUCCAAGGAAUUUACAACAGGCUUUGCUGCCAAACUAUGUCUAUUAACUGCCCAAACUCUGAUUUCAAUCUUCCAGCAGUUAACUCAAAUAAAUACAAAGGUGAAUUCUUUAAAAACAGCUUUUGAAACCUUUGUGCAGGGCUUUGUAGACAAGCUGGCAGCUUCUGAAACAGCCUUUAAUUUUGGCACCAAUUCGGACCUGCCCACAGAUAGUCUAAGGAAGCAAAACUGUUUAGAAGAACUCCCUAAGUCCAGAAAGGAUACAUGAUCAGAGGCACUGCAUGCAGUUCCAUCUUCUGCCAAGGAGUUAAGUAAAAUAUGUACAACCGUGUUCUUAAAACACAUCAGGUUGCACUAAGAAGUACACCCAACAGAUUUAAUAUUGAGUGCUGGUCCACCAGAAGAGCUAUUAUUCUAUCUCUUCUCUGAUGCCAAAGUUAGACGAUUGAUUUAAGUGCUGUGAAAUGGCUCCCUAGCAUGAGAGGCCACAAAUGCAUUUUAUCAUCUUUUAAUCAUUCCCGGUAUGCUGUUUAAAAUAAAACAUUUUCUUUCUACCUUUCAAAUAUAUCCAUUAAGAGUCUUCCACGAUGAAAAAAGAAGCAUCCUUUCUGGCAUAUCUCCCCAAGCAGACACUCUCCUGCCUUAUGCCACAGAUAAGGAGCCAAAUGAUAAAAACCAUAGUAACCCAGCACCUUCAGCAACCUUGACUAGACUUUGUCAGAAUAAUCAUGCUGAACUUACAUGAGAAAGAUCUGGCACUGAUGAUGCCUUGGAAUCAGGUCUAAUUACCUCCUUUGAAGCUCUACCAAAUGAAGAGUAAGAUGACAUACUGAGAAGGUUGGACGAACGGAAACAAACACCGCUGCUGACUCAAGCAGCAGCAAAGCCCUUAAUUCAUUUAAUAUCUUUGGACUAUCAGCUUGACAGUAAUCCUGAAGAAAAUCAAUACAAACCUUCUGAAUUGUCUAACCAAACAUCCUUGCUAGAAAACAACUCAAAGUCACUUGGUCCAUCUUCAUCACCUGAGAAUUGUCCUGACACUACUUCACUUCCGACUCCUCUUAUUCCAUUGAGGGCAAAUACAAGACACUCAGAAGUCACUUCCUCCACUUCUACUCAAGGGAAGGCAGGUUGGAAAACACCUGUCCUCAUUUCUGCAGCCAAUGCCAGUGUGGUGGAGGGCCCCCCAAAGUAUGGUUCCUCUUUUAGGGUCUCUGAUGAGGUCCAAAAUAAGAUGUCAAAUGCCGAUUGACAACAUGAGUUCCUCUCUUGGAACCUGGGGGGUUGGCUCAAUAAGCUUUACGAUUCCGAUUUUAUAAGAUUUAUCCAUGGCUUUGAUAUAUUAUGCCUUCAAGAAACAUGGCUCAUGAACCCUGACUCUUUGGAUAUUCAGGGGUUCAGGACUUAUUUUGUCCCUGCAACCAAAACUCACUCAAAGGGUCAAGGAAGUGGAGGCAUGGCUACAUUGGUAUCAGUGGACCUAAACAUUGACAUCUAGGUUGUAGAGAACAACUGUCCCAGUAAUUUCCAGACCCUACUCCUUGAAGGUGAUUAUUUUAGAAGUUUACUAUGUGUAAAUGUCUACAUUCCACCCAUGAGCUCACCUUUUUCAAGUAGGGCCUGCAUCUGGGACAUGUUAACUGAUAUGCUAGACUCGUUAAUAUCUCAUUUCCCGUACGAACAUGUUAUUCUAUGUGGGGAUUUUAAGGCGAGAAUAGGAGCAGGCAUCUUUGAGGAAGGAAAUGACCUGAAUGCUCAGCAUGCUAGGCAUGCCCAAUUUCUAGAUCAAUCUUCAAAGGAUUCAAUAGUGAACAAGUAUGGGUUAAAUCUUUUUGAGCUCCUUUCCAUGUCUAAUCUCCAUAUACUCUGUGGCACCUCUUUUGAUAUAACUGGUGGCACCUAUACUCACCCUGGGACUGGCAGGACCAGCACUGUAGUUUAUAUAGCUAUUACUCCCACCUUACUGAAUCUGGUGGUUAAAUUCAAAGUUUUAGACCUUACUUUGAGCGAUCACUGCCCACAACACUUGUCCCUUAAAGUUAAUUCCAAUGUCAUGAUGAACCGCUUAUGGAUUUUGAAGAGGAUCUCACUCCUAAUGUUAGGAGACUUAAAUGGUCUAACAGAAUACAUUCUGUUUUAGCUGAUACUCUGUCGAGCCAGGAAUUGAGCUGCUUGAGAGACUCUUGCAACACAAUUCCGAUGUUACACAAUUCUUCAGUGAGAUUAACAACCAUCUUAAGCGUCUUAUAAACAAUAGACCAAAAAAGCAGCCCAUGCUCAAGAUGGCUGGUUCAAUCAUGACUGUAAAAUCUUUAAAAAAGAACUUAUCUCGUGUCACAACACAUGAGACAAGUUAGGUACGGUAGGGAAGGUGGGUUGUCUAAUCUUUUAUUACUUAGGUCCCACUAUAAAAACUUAAUUAAGCAAAAGAAACUGGAACAUGCUAAGUUUCUUUGGCAAGAGCUAGACUGAGCAGUUUCCAAAAAAAGAGAUUCACAAUUUUGGGAACUGGUCGCUAACCAUAAGAAUAGUCCUUAUUGCCAGGUCGAUUCAUACCGACCAGGCCAUGUUUGGUUUUCUUAUUUCAGUACUGUUUUUGGGUCUCAACAGCCACAGGAAGCAUUUUCCUUCCCAGGGAGACACUGGAAUGGCUGCCUGUUUCAGCUGCUGAAAUCAGCAAUCUAAUUGCCUCUCUGAAACGUGGCAAAUCCCCUGGAGAGGAUAUGCUUCCACCAGAUUUAUUUAAAGCCUUCCCAGAAUGGUGGGCUCCAAUCUGGCCAGAGUGUUCUUCUUGGUUAAUGAAACAGGCCAGAUCUCACCCGGCUGGAAGCCUUGUUUCCAAGCCACGUAUACAGCCUUACUAACUGGUCGUUAUUCCCAUAUUCCAAUGGAGCAGCGUGUCUGCAUCUGUGAAUCACCUAAAAUAGAGGACCUCUUGCACUCUAUUCUUCACUGUUCAUUAUAUUGUGAACCUAGGGGGGAAAAUUGUCUAGUGCACUACCCACCUUCAAUGCCUACUCUGAUCCUGAGAAGUUAGUGUUUUUGUUGUCAGAUAUUGUUGUGCACGUGUCUUACUGAGUCUCUCUUUUUGCUCUUGCAGCUAAAAAAGGUAAGAGCUGUCCUGAAUCACACCUGGUCUGUCUUUUUAGUAUUAUGUUUUAAUAUGUUUUAUUUAUGGUUUUAUUUGUGAAUUCAAUGUUUUAGCUUGUUGAGUUGUAAUGGCCUAUGGCUAAAUGCAAUAAACUAAUUGACUGACUAACUGAGGUACAAAAUAAAGUGGACUGCAAUGAAACACUUUCAGUUAGACAAACAAAGUGUUUCACUCUCAGAAUGACAGACUUGGAAGAAACAGAGUAGCUCUAACACUGAAAACAAGAUACAGCCCAACUAGGAAGGGGAUAUCAUACGAAGUCCAAUGAAUUCUUUAAAACCCUACCCAUCCAACAACAGAUUCUAAAGAAGGAAGAAACUUCUAUUCAGGUGUUAAAAGAAUAAAAAUAACACACCAAAACAAGACACACUGAUAAUCAUAGGUGACUGGAAUGCAAAAAUAGGAAAUAAAGUAGAAUCAAAUGUCGAGAGAGAAUUUGGCUUAGAAUAAAGCAGAAGAAUGACUCAGAAUUGCAUCAAGGCAGCCAUCUGUUUAUUGCAAACAUGUACUUGAGGCAAUCAAUUAGGUGGCCAAUAAAUAUACUAUGCAACUGAAAGCAAGAGCUGGCAAAGUUGUAUUUUUUCUGUAAAACUCAAGACCUUACAUGACCUAUGUCCAGAUCUAGCAAUUGUUGUUAGUCACAAAGUCGUGUCCGACCCAUUGCGACCCCACAGAAAACACCCCUCCAGGCUUUCCUGUCCUCCACCAUCUCCCA